rnacentral:rRNA from 1 species
UGAGCAAUCUGCCCUUCUCUUCGGAAUAAGCGUGGGAAACCGCGCCUAAUGCCGAAUACGACCUCCUUUCGCAUGAUCGGAGGUGGAAAGCUCCGGCGGAGAAGGAUGAGCUCGCGGCCUAUCAGCUAGUUGGUGUGGGUAAUGGCCCACCAAGGCGACGACGGGUAGCCGGCCUGAGAGGGUGACCGGCCACACUGGGACUGAGACACGGCCCAGACCUCCUACGGGAGGCAGCG